AACGAACGCUGGCGGCAUGCCUAACACAUGCAAGUCGAACGAGACCUUCGGGUCUAGUGGCGCACGGGUGCGUAACGCGUGGGAACCUGCCCUUAGGUUCGGAAUAACUCCCCGAAAGGGGUGCUAAUACCGGAUAAUGUCUUCGGACCAAAGAUUUAUCGCCUUUGGAUGGGCCCGCGUUGGACUAGCUAGUUGGUAGGGUAAAAGCCUACCAAGGCGACGAUCCAUAGCUGGUCUGAGAGGAUGAUCAGCCACACUGGGACUGAGACACGGCCCAGACUCCUACGGGAGGCAGCAGUGGGGAAUAUUGGACAAUGGGUGAAAGCCUGAUCCAGCAAUGCCGCGUGAGUGAUGAAGGCCUUAGGGUUGUAAAGCUCUUUUACCCGGGAUGAUAAUGACAGUACCGGGAGAAUAAGCUCCGGCUAACUCCGUG
rnacentral:rRNA from 1 species